GUUGGUGAACCAGCGGAGGGAUCAUUACCGAGUUUUCAACUCCCAAACCCUAUGUGAACUUACCACACCGUUGCUUCGGCGCGCGCUCGUCGCCGCCGAGGACGUUAAACUCUGUCUUGUAUAAGCAUCUCUGAGUGGCCGAAAGGCAAAAAACAAAUGAAUCAAAACUUUCAACAACGGAUCUCUUGGUUCUG
rnacentral:misc_RNA from 1 species